rnacentral:rRNA from 1 species
AUGGCCGUACCAUGGUGAAUAUACCGGUUCUCGUUAGAUCACCGAAGUUAAGCAUCAUUGGGCGCGGUCAGUACUUGGGUGGGUGACCACCUGGGAACACUGCGUGCCGUU